AUUGAACGCUGGCGGCAGGCCUAACACAUGCAAGUCGAACGAGUGGCGGACGGGUGAGUAAUGUCUGGGAAACUGCCUGAUGGACGGGGAUAACUACUGGAAACGGUAGCUAAUACCGCAUGCCACCAUAUGUGCCCAGAUGGGAUUAGCUAGUUGGUGGGGUAACGGCCCACCAAGGCGACGCUCCCUAGCUGGGCUGAGAGGGUGACCAGCCACACUGGAACUGAGACACGGUCCAGACUCCUACGGGAGGCAGCAGUGGGGAAUAUUGCACAAUGGGCGAAAGCCUGAUGCAGCCAGGCCGCGUGUAUGAAGAAGGCCUUCGGGUUGUAAAGUACUUUCAGCGGGGAGGCGUUACCCGCAGAAAAAGCACCGGCUAACUCCGUGCCAGCAGCCGCGGUAAUAC
rnacentral:rRNA from 1 species